AUAAUGGUGUCUUUAGACACCACCCCUUAUAUUUCAAUUUUUUGUAU
rfam:Picea glauca, whole genome shotgun sequence.